GUACCGAGCCUCCUCUCUGCUUCCGUCCGGUCUGUCCGAAGCUCGAGAGAGAGAGAGAGAGAGAGAGAGAGAGAGAGGCGUGCAGGCCAGGAAGGAAGGAAGUUGAUAUUAUCGUCUUAAUUAACAACUUGUAGACUGUAACUACAGAGUAUAGUAAACCCCAAAGUAAUAAAGAAAAUGCUGUUGAGGGCACUCCAUUUCUCUAAUCCCUCAAUCAACCACCACCGAUACACAUCGUCCCCCGCCACCUCCACCGCUCACUCUCGUCUCUUUCUGUACGAUCUCCGCCUCCCAAUCCAACGGUUCUCGUCGAUUACCAUACAAUCACACUAUAAUUCAACAACAACAGCUGUUGCAGAAUCAGAAUCGCUAGAGUCGUCGACUUCAUCUGAGUACAUCGAGACCGUCGGAUUACCGUCUAGUUCAGUGCUUCAGCUCUCUCAGUGGAAUCUCACUCAUCGCCACGUUCUCGUCCUCAAUGUCAUUGCUUGCGCUGCAGCGGUUUCAGCAACCUGGCUAUUUUUGUCUGCAAUCCCAACUCUUCUUGCUUUCAAGACGGCAGCAGAAUCACUUGAGAAGUUGAUGGAUGUGACGAGGGAAGAACUUCCAGAUACAAUGGCUGCUGUUCGGUUAUCAGGCAUGGAAAUUAGUGAUCUUACCAUGGAGCUCAGUGACUUGGGGCAGGAGAUUACACAAGGUGUUAGAAGUUCCACCAGAGCUGUCCGUGUAGCUGAGGAGAGGCUGCGCCAAUUGACAAACAUAACUCCAACAGCUUCAUUGCAGAGGGUAGCCAUUCUGAAAAAUGAGACAGGAGGACCAGCAUUGGCCAGGACUGCACGGGGAAUGAGGGAGGGGAUUGUCAAGGGUCGUUCAAUCUUGCAAAUAUUCUUCACAAUCAUACAAUUUUCCAGGAUGGCCGUUAACUAUUUUGCUAAGCAAAAUAAGAAAUAGAUCCAAAGAUAUGAGCUCUGUGAUGAAAAGAAAGAUCAUCAAAACGAAUUAAACCCAAUGGGCUAUCCUGUGAUGGUUCUUCUUGGUGAGAUAAUUAAUAGGGUUUGUAUGAGGCAGAGUACAGAAAGAAGAUGGGUGGGGAAAUAGUUGACAAGCAAUGGAACACGAAUUUUGAAGUCCAGGUCCAGUUCCUUCAUAGCUUACAUGAUGGUAACCAAUGUGCUGAUUUCUUAGUGCGUACUGGUUCUUCUCAGACUUCCACUUGCGAACUUUGGUUUCAUCAUCUUCCUGGCAUGGAUCAGGAUGAGCUUCUCCUAGCUGCUGAUAUAAUGGGAAUUGCCCUUCUCUCAGUGUUUGUUUUCGUUUAUACCAUCUUUUGCACACAAAAAGAAGGGGGUCCCUUUUGCAGAACUUUGAAGUUUGAUUAAUGGCAUGGUCAUGUAACUUGGUGUGGAGAGGCUGGGCUAAAAAUCACUCGAAGUCCCUCUUCUAUUUGAAUUUGGUCAAAUCAAUCUCCAUACAAUAAAUUCGAUCUCACACUUUUGAUUUUGGGUAAUA